rnacentral:rRNA from 1 species
UACGAAGGGGGCUAGCGUUGCUCGGAAUCACUGGGCGUAAAGGGUGCGUAGGCGGGUCUUUAAGUCAAGGGUGAAAUCCUGGAGCUCAACUCCAGAACUGCCUUUGAUACUGAGGAUCUUGAGUACGGGAGAGGUGAGUGGAACUGCGAGUGUAGAGGUGAAAUUCGUAGAUAUUCGCAAGAACACCAGUGGCGAAGGCGGCUCACUGGCCCGGUACUGACGCUGAGGUGCGAAAGCGUGGGGAGCAAACGGG